GCGCCCGUAGCUCAGCUGGAUAGAGUAUCUGACUACGAAUCAGAGGGCCGGAGGUUCGAAUCCUUCCGGGCGCACCA
rnacentral:tRNA from 4 species